AUUCACAAAGAUCUGGGGAUAUAACAUUUGUUAAAAGAAGUGAAAAGUAUGAAAUGAUACCAGUUGCGAUAUGGCAAGCGUAUCCAAAACCUGCAUGCAAUAUCUUUGUUGGAGUGAGUUAUUAACCUUAACGAAAUUAUACAUUGAUAUAAAAAAUAAUUUGUCAACGAAAAAUUGCUGUUUUACAAUGCAUCUGUAAUGUGAAAUACACAAAAUGUUCAAUGUAUUAUUGAAACUUUUAUAAUGUUAUUUAAAAAAAAGUAUUCCGAAUCUAUAAUAAUUUUUAUGAAGACAAGAAUGGUACUAUUGCCAGAUCAAAAUUCAAUUGCCUUUAAAAAAUCAAUGUUAUGAAUAAUGGAAAUAUUAUCUUUUACUAGAAAUUAUUAUAAAGAAAAACUCACAAAAACCGCAGCCUUUGCACGUUAUAUGAAAUUACCAUAAGUAGCGUUCAUAAAUGUUAAAGGAAAAUGUCCGAUAAAAAGAAAAUUUCCGUUAUGCAGACUCUUUUAUGUGAUGAAAUAGGCAUGAUACAUAACCUAUGUUUAAUUUGUAGAAUUCUAAAAUAAAAGAAAGGUACGAAUCUACGUUUGAGAGGGUGUCAAUAUUCUACAAAGUGACAUUGAGUUUCUCAUAUGGAACUCUAAGCAAAUACUGUUAUGAAAGUCUUCUAAUCACCUGUGAUGUUGGUACGACUGCAUUUAAUUAUACUGUACCCAUUCAAUGUGAAG
rnacentral:lncRNA from 1 species